CCUAGUUUCCGUGUCCAACGUUUAACCGUCCGUCUUAUUUGAAAAAAAUAUGAAAAAAAUUAAAAAGAUAAGUCAUGCAUAAAGUAUUAAUCACGUUUUAUCAUCUAACAACAAUGAAAAUACUAAUUAUAAAAAAAAUUCAUAUAAGAUGGACAGUCAAACGUUGGCACGAAAAUUUAGGGUUUAACUUUUU
rfam:Oryza rufipogon genomic scaffold, chr08